rnacentral:sRNA from 1 species
CGGGCCCUCGCGCGCCGCGGUUCGCCCCGCAGCCUCGCCCCCUGCCCACCCGGGCGGCCGUAGGGCGGUCACGAUGCUGCCGCCCGCACCCUCACGUCUCGGGCUGCUGCUGCUGCUGCUCCUGUGCCCGGCGCACGUCGGCGGACUGUGGUGACAUUCGGGAGACGGCCUUCGUGUUUGCUAUUACUGCGGCGGGCGCCAGCCACGCUGUCACGCAGGCCUGUUCUAUGGGCGAGCUGCUGCAGUGCGGCUGCCAGGCGCCCCGCGGGCGGGCCCCUCCCCGGCCCUCCGGCCUGCCCGGCACCCCCGGACCCCCUGGCCCCGCGGGCUCCCCGGAAGGCAGCGCCGCCUGGGAGUGGGGAGGCUGCGGCGACGACGUGGACUUCGGGGACGAGAAGUCGAGGCUCU